GAAAAAUGGCCAUUUUCACCCAUCCAAAGGGACCAAGGAGAUGAAGGAGGAUGGUGGAGAGAUUGUGGGGAGGAGGUGCUGAUUGAAAAAGAGACAAGAAAGAGACUGCCCCUUCUGCCUUGUCGUUGGCUCCUUGCCUGUCAUCGGUACGGCCUUUUUUUCCUCCCUCUUUUCUUUUGGAGGAUCACAUACAAGUUGGGGAGGCUGCUCUGAAGCCACAUGAUCUCUCAGAUAUUGUCAGCUGUACUGGGACUCUCUGGAGUCCCUUGUCCAUCACCAUAGGUCACCCCAGCAGAACCUGGGCAUCUACCAUAGACCUGAGGUGUCCAAAUCGGGACAGUGCUCCAAGUGGUCUGCAAACUGGUGCCCUGAUUAUAGGUUAUUCUGUGAUUGAAGCUUCACCCAGAGAUGGGCUGAGAAUGUGAAUGGGAUGUCUGCAUUUAGCAUCAGUUUUUGGAGCUUUGAUGUGGGCUAUUUCCUCCUGAAGGGCCUUGAUAACAAAGACCAGAACACAGUCCUGUGGGAGUUUCUAGCUUCUGUACCCACUGCCUCAUUAUAUGCAUGGCUUUUAAUAUUCGGAGAGCCUUUGCCAAUACACAUUUUCUCGUGUACUGAGAAACUGGAGCCCGGAUGUGAUGUAUUAUUGAUAGGAUUGUAAUUUACUCCUCUUGUGUUGUAUCUACAGUGUAUACCAUUAGCACAAAAUAUUAAAUUACCAGGGUUUGUAUAUAUUUGUUUAUUCAGGUUUGGCUCAAUGAUAUUUGUCUUUUGCCUCAAUAAAAGAUCGUGAAUAAUGAAAGCAGGGUAAUAUUAUUUUGUUGUUGUUGUUGUUGCAAGGGAAUUUUGAUGAAACCAUUUUCUCUGUGUUGUGUUUUUGGCAAGCCAUGCUUUGCAAUGAAGACAUGAGACAUAAAAGAGUGGGGGUUGGACACAGAAGAUGGAUGAGCAGCUCGCUCCAGCUCUCGGCACACACUGGCUUCCCUGGCAAGCUGCUCCAGGCCAGGCUUUGGGCUUUAUUUUUCUGCAAGAGGGAAUACGCAAUCUGUGCUGCAUUGGUGGGAAGAAGUGGGCAGUUCAGACCUCGGUGCUACAAACACCAAGCCCUGUGCCUCUCUUGUGAAGAUAGCAUUUGCAUGGGACUUUGGGGGGACCCAGCAGCACAUCAGCAUUGUGAACCUUUUGUAGUCACAGCAUUGUGCCCUGGCUAGUGUUUGAUAAUCUAUCCUCUGGUCACCAUUGUUGGCCAUUUUGGUUCCCGCCUCCACCCGGGCCAGGUGGCACAUAAAUACACAAGCACUUAUCUCCUUUAAAAAGAUGCCAGGUCAUAGAACUCAAACCAAGCUGCAAAUAAAAAUGCCAUGUAGUGUCUGUCGUGUGCUUCUUGUUCUGAUCUUUGGGCUUGCUUCAGAUCCUUGAAUGUGAGGUGUUUGCUAGUUAACUAGGAGUCUGCUGGACAAACAGCACCCCACAG